UCUAGCCUGCCCAAUGAAUAUUUAAUGGCCGCAGUAUUUUGACUGUGCAAAGGUAGCAUMAUCAUUAGUUUCUUAAUUAGGAACUGGUAUGAAUGGUUGGAUGAGAAAAAAUCUGUCUUUAUUUAAUUUUAUAUGAAUUUUAUUUUUGAGUUAAAAAGCUCAAAUUUUUUUUAAAGACGAGAAGACCCUAUAGAGUUUAAUAUUUUUAUAAUUAUUAUUUUUAGGUAUUUAAAUUUAGUAUAUUUGAUAAAAUAUUUUGUUGGGGUGACCGAAAAAUUUAAAUAACUUUUUUUUAUUUUAACAUUAAUUUAUGAUUUUUUGAUCCAGUAUUUUUGAUUAUAAGAUUAAAUUACCUUAGGGAUAACAGCGUAAUUUUUUUGGAGAGUUCUAAUCGAUAAUAAAGUUUGCGACCUCGAUGUUGGAUUAAAAUUUAUAGUUGGUGUAGAAGCUAACUAAUUAGGUCUGUUCGACCUUUAAAAUUUUACAUGAUCUGAGUUUAAACCGGUGUGAGCCAGGUUGGUUUCUAUCUUAAAUUAGUUUUAAUAUUUUAGUACGAAAGGACCAAUUAUUAAUAAUAUUUAUUUUUAUUAAGAAUAAAA
rnacentral:rRNA from 1 species